UAUUCAACAACACUGAAAAGGAAAAUGAAAGCAUUCAAUGUAGGCUACACUGGACAAAAAACACAUACACCAAGACACUCCACAAACCCAGACACCUCAGAAGCGCAGAGGCACAUCCACUAAUAUGGGAAAGAUCUACCAAGUCUUAGUGGAAGGAUUGAGAGGGGAGAAAAUGACAAUCGACGUGGGUGAAACAGAGGAAGAGAUGAACAAUACCACAGUGCUGCAGCUGAAACAGAAAAUUUUGAAGAAACUGCCGGGUCCCUCAGCUGGAAAUGAGGUUGAGACCAUACGUCUGAUCUUCACAGACAAGCCAUUGGAAGACCAAUCCAAGCUCUCCUCUUAUGAGAUCCAGGACAAGUCACUCAUUUUUCUGGUACUGCGGCAGAAUGGGGGACAGAGAGACUGACAGAUGGACAAUUUCUGAUUGAAUACAUUAGGAAUACACUAUGAAAGAAAAAUGUUGUAUCAUUGUUUAUCUUACUAUGAUCUGACAAAACAUUUCCCAGGCCUAUUAUAAUGAUUUUUAAUCUGUCACAUAUAAAAUAAUAAAUAUUAUCCUAACAAAAAUUAA